UAGCUGGUUGGUGAGGUAACGGCCCACCAAGGCGACGAUUGGUAGCCGGACUGAGAGGUUGAACGGCCACAUUGGGACUGAGACACGGCCCAGACUCCUACGGGAGGCAGCAGUGGGGGAUAUUGCACAAUGGGGGAAACCCUGAUGCAGCGACGCCGCGUGGAGGAAGAAGGUUUUCGGAUUGUAAACUCCUGUCGUUAGGGACGAAAAAUGACGGUACCGUACAAGAAAGCCACGGCUAACUACGUGCCAGCAGCCGCGGUAAAACGUAGGUGGCAAGCGUUGUCCGGAAUUACUGGGUGUAAAGGGAGCGCAGGCGGGUUUGCAAGUUGGAUGUUUAAUCGAGGGGCUCAACCCCUUUCCGCAUUCAAAACUGCAGAUCUUGAGUGGUGCAGAGGUAGGCGGAAUUCCCGGUGUAGCGGUGGAAUGCGUAGAUAUCGGGAGGAACACCAGUGGCGAAGGCGGCCUACUGGGCACUAACUGACGCUGAGGCUCGAAAGCAUGGGUAGCAAACAGGAUUAGAUACCCUGGUAGUCCAUGCCGUAAACGAUGAUUACUAGGUGUGGGGGGAUUGACCCCCUCCGUGCCGCAGU
rnacentral:rRNA from 1 species